rnacentral:rRNA from 1 species
GAUGAACGCUGGCGGCGUGCCUAAUACAUGCAAGUCGAGCGAACAGACGAGGAGCUUGCUCCUCUGACGUUAGCGGCGGACGGGUGAGUAACACGUGGAUAACCUACCUAUAAGACUGGGAUAACUUCGGGAAACCGGAGCUAAUACCGGAUAAUAUAUUGAACCGCAUGGUUCAAUAGUGAAAGACGGUUUUGCUGUCACUUAUAGAUGGAUCCGCGCCGCAUUAGCUAGUUGGUAAGGUAACGGCUUACCAAGGCAACAAUGAGUAGCCGACCUGAGAGGGUGAUCGGACACACUGGAACUGAGACCCGGCCCAGACUCCUACGGGAGGCAGCAGUAGGGAAUCUUCCGCAAUGGGCGAAAGCCUGACGGAGCAACGCCGCGUGAGUGAUGAAGGUCUUCGGAUCGUAAAACUCUGUUAUUAGGGAAGAACAAAUGUGUAAGUAACUAUGCACGUCUUGACGGUACCUAAUCAGAAAGCCACGGCUAACUACGUG